GAUGAACGCUGGCGGCGUGCCUAAUACAUGCAAGUCGAGCGAACGGACGAGAAGCUUGCUUCUCUGAUGUUAGCGGCGGACGGGUGAGUAACACGUGGAUAACCUACCUAUAAGACUGGGAUAACUUCGGGAAACCGGAGCUAAUACCGGAUAAUAUUUUGAACCGCAUGGUUCAAAAGUGAAAGACGGUCUUGCUGUCACUUAUAGAUGGAUCCGCGCUGCAUUAGCUAGUUGGUAAGGUAACGGCUUACCAAGGCAACGAUGCAUAGCCGACCUGAGAGGGUGAACGGCUACACUGGAACAGAGACACGGUCCCGACACCUACGGUAGUCAGCAGUAGUGAAUCUGCCGGAAUGGGCGAAAGCCUAACGGAGCAACGCCGCGUGAGUGAUGAAGGUCUUCGGUUCGUGAAACUCUGUUAUUAGGGGAGAACAUAUGUGUUAGUAACUGUGCACAUCUUGACGGUACCUAAUCAGAAAGCCACGGCUAACAUCGUG
rnacentral:rRNA from 1 species